rnacentral:rRNA from 1 species
AUACGGAGGGUGCAGGCGUUGUUCGGAAUAAUUGGGCGUAAAGAGCAUGUAGGCGGUUCGUUAAGCCUGAUGUUAAAGCCCGGGGCUCAACCCCGGAAGUGCAUUGGAUACUGGCAAACUUGAGUACGGGAGAGGAAAGUGGAAUUUCGAGUGUAGGGGUGAAAUCCGUAGAUAUUCGAAGGAACACCAGUGGCGAAGGCGGCUUUCUGGACCGAUACUGACGCUGAGAUGCGAAAGCGUGGGGAGCAAACAGGAUUAGAAACCCUAGUAGUCC